UACGAAGGGGGCUAGCGUUGUUCGGAUUUACUGGGCGUAAAGCGCACGUAGGCGGAUUGGUCAGUUAGGGGUGAAAUCCCAGAGCUCAACUCUGGAACUGCCUUUAAUACUGCCAGUCUAGAGUCCGGAAGAGGUGAGUGGAACUCCUAGUGUAGAGGUGGAAUUCGUAGAUAUUAGGAAGAACACCAGUGUCGAAGGCGGCUCACUGGUCCGGUACUGAC
rnacentral:rRNA from 1 species